AGAGUUUGAUCCUGGCUCAGAACGAACGCUGGCGGCAUGGCUAAGACAUGCAAGUCGAACGGAUCUUACAAUUGGGUAACCGAGAGUAGGGUUAGUGGCGAAAGGGUGAGGAAUGAAUAGGUAACGUACCCCAAACUUCAGAAUAGCGUCUAGGUGCUUGCACCUUUCCGAAAGGGGCGGUAAUACUGAAUAAUAUCAUCAGCUUGAUGUUGAUGAUCAAAGAUUUAUCGGUUUGGGAGCGGCCUAUUUCCUAUCAGCUUGUUGGUGAGGUAACGGCUCACCAAGGCGACGACGGGUAGCGGGACUGAGAGGUUGGCCCGCCACAUUGGGACUGAGACACUGCCCAGACCCCCACGGGGGGCUGCAGUAACGAAUAUUCGCCAAUGGGAGAAAUCCUGAGCGUGCGACGCCGCGUGAGCGAUGAAGGCCUUCGGGUCGUAAAGCUCUGUGUUAUGGGAAGAAACUCCGGUAGGUAAAUAAUCUACCGGACUGACGGUACCACAAUAGAAAGCCCCGGCUAACUACGUGCCAGCAGCCGCGGUAAUACGUAGGGGGCAAGCGUUGUUCGGAAUCACUGGGCGUAAAGGGCGUACAGGCGGCCAUGUAAGUUGGAUGUGAAAUUCUCGGGCUUAACCCGAGACCUGCAUUCAAUACUGCUUGGCUUGAGAUCAGGAGAGGAGAGUGGAAUAUGUGGUGUAGCGGUGAAAUGCGUAGAGAUCACAUAGAACACCGGUGGCGAAGGCGGCUCUCUGGCCUGAUUCUGACGCUGACGCGCGAAAGUUAGGGUAGCGAACGGGAUUAGAUACCCCGGUAGUCCUAACUGUAAACGAUGGGUACUAAGUGUAGGAGGUCAUUGACCCCUCCUGUGCUGUAGCUAACGCAUUAAGUACCCCGCCUGGGGACUACGGUCGCAAGACUAAAACUCAAUGUAAUUGACGGGGGCCCGCACAAGCGGUGGAGCAUGUCGCUUAAUUCGAAGCAACGCGAAGAACCUUAUCCAGUGGCUUGACAUCCUCUGACAACUGUGGAAACACAGCUUUCUCUUAUGGGACAGAGUGACAGGUGCUGCAUGGCAGUCGUCAGCUCGUGUCGUGAGAUGUUGGGUUAAGUCCCGCAACGAGCGCAACCCCUGUCUCUAGUUGCCAGCGUGUAAUGGCGGGGACUCUAGAGAUACUGCCGGUGAUAAGCCGGAGGAAGGUGGGGAUGACGUCAUGUCCUCAUGCCCUUAUGCCCUGGGCUGCACACGUGCUACAAUGGUCGGUACAACGAGUCGUGAAACCGCGAGGUCGAACCAAUCUCUAAAAACCGGCCCCAGUUGGGAUUGUAGUCUGCAACUCGACUACAUGAACGUGGAAUCGCUAGUAAUCGCGAAUCAGCAGGUCGCGGUGAAUACGUUCCCGGGCCUUGUACACACCGCCCGUCACACCACGAAAGUUGGUAGCAUUCGAAGCCUACGAGCUAACC
rnacentral:rRNA from 1 species